UGGGGAAUCUUGCACAAUGGGCGAAAGCCUGAUGCAGCAACGCCGCGUGCGGGAAGACAGCCCUAGGGUUGUAAACCGCUUUCAGCAGGGAAGAAACUGACGGUACCUGCAGAAGAAGAUGCGGCCAACUACGUGCCAGCAGCCGCGGUGACACGUAGGCAUCAAGCGUUAUCCGGAUUUAUUGGGCGUAAAGAGCUCGUAGGCGGUUCGGUAAGUCGGGUGUGAAAACUCUGGGCUCAACCCAGAGAGGCCACUCGAUACUGCUGUGACUAGAGUGCGGUAGGGGAGCGGGGAAUUCCUGGUGUAGCGGUGAAAUGCGCAGAUAUCAGGAGGAACACCAGUGGCGAAGGCGCCGCUCUGGGCCGUAACUGACGCUGAGGAGCGAAAGCAUGGGUAGCAAACAGGAUUAGAUACCCUGGUAGUCCAUGCCGUAAACGUUGGGCACUAGGUGUGGGUCUCAACCGAACGAGA
rnacentral:rRNA from 1 species